UUUAAGCACGCCUAUGAGUUUCCGUGUCUAAUUUUGAUCGUCCGUCUUAUUUGAAAUUUUCUCUAUUAUUAGUAUUUUGUUUUUAUUAGAUAAUAAAACAUUAAUAUUAUUUUAUGCUGACUUAUGCUUUUAAUUUUUUUAAAUGUUUUUAAAAUAAGACGGACGAUUAAAGUUGAAUAAGGAAACUCAUAGCUGUGCUUAAA
rfam:Oryza sativa Japonica Group DNA, chromosome 1, cultivar: Nipponbare, complete sequence.